UUGAACGCUGGCGGCAGGCCUAACACAUGCAAGUCGAGCGGUAGCACAGAGAGCUUGCUCUCGGGUGACGAGCGGCGGACGGGUGAGUAAUGUCUGGGAAACUGCCUGAUGGAGGGGGAUAACUACUGGAAACGGUAGCUAAUACCGCAUAAUGUCGCAAGACCAAAGUGGGGGACCUUCGGGCCUCAUGCCAUCAGAUGUGCCCAGAUGGGAUUAGCUAGUAGGUGGGGUAACGGCUCACCUAGGCGACGAUCCCUAGCUGGUCUGAGAGGAUGACCAGCCACACUGGAACUGAGACACGGUCCAGACUCCUACGGGAGGCAGCAGUGGGGAAUAUUGCACAAUGGGCGCAAGCCUGAUGCAGCCAUGCCGCGUGUGUGAAGAAGGCCUUCGGGUUGUAAAGCACUUUCAGCGGGGAGGAAGGCGUUAAGGUUAAUAACCUUGGCGAUUGACGUUACCCGCAGAAGAAGCACCGGCUAACUCCGUGCCAGCAGCCGCGGUAAUACGGAGGGUGCAAGCGUUAAUCGGAAUUACUGGGCGUAAAGCGCACGCAGGCGGUCUGUCAAGUCGGAUGUGAAAUCCCCGGGCUCAACCUGGGAACUGCAUUCGAAACUGGCAGGCUAGAGUCUUGUAGAGGGGGGUAGAAUUCCAGGUGUAGCGGUGAAAUGCGUAGAGAUCUGGAGGAAUACCGGUGGCGAAGGCGGCCCCCUGGACAAAGACUGACGCUCAGGUGCGAAAGCGUGGGGAGCAAACAGGAUUAGAUACCCUGGUAGUCCACACUGUAAACGAUGAUAGCUAGGUGUGGGGGGUCUGACCCCUUCCGUGCCGGAGUUAACGCAAUAAGCUAUCCACCUGGGGAGUACGACCGCAAGGUUGAAACUCAAAGGAAUUGACGGGGGCCCGCACAAGCGGUGGAGCAUGUGGUUUAAUUCGAUGCAACGCGAAGAACCUUACCUGGUCUUGACAUCCACAGAACUUUCCAGAGAUGGAUUGGUGCCUUCGGGAACUGUGAGACAGGUGCUGCAUGGCUGUCGUCAGCUCGUGUUGUGAAAUGUUGGGUUAAGUCCCGCAACGAGCGCAACCCUUAUCCUUUGUUGCCAGCGGUCCGGCCGGGAACUCAAAGGAGACUGCCAGUGAUAAACUGGAGGAAGGUGGGGAUGACGUCAAGUCAUCAUGGCCCUUACGACCAGGGCUACACACGUGCUACAAUGGCAUAUACAAAGAGAAGCGACCUCGCGAGAGCAAGCGGACCUCAUAAAGUAUGUCGUAGUCCGGAUUGGAGUCUGCAACUCGACUCCAUGAAGUCGGAAUCGCUAGUAAUCGUAGAUCAGAAUGCUACGGUGAAUACGUUCCCGGGCCUUGUACACACCGCCCGUCACACCAUGGGAGUGGGUUGCAAAAGAAGUAGGUAGCUUAACCUUCGGGAGGGCGCUUACCACUUUGUGAUUCAUGACUGGGGUG
rnacentral:rRNA from 1 species